UACGUAGGGUGCGAGCGUUAAUCGGAAUUACUGGGCGUAAAGCGUGCGCAGGCGGUUUUGUAAGCCAGAUGUGAAAUCCCCGGGCUUAACCUGGGAAUGGCAUUUGGGACUGCAAGGCUCGAGUGCGGCAGAGGAGACUGGAAUUCCUGGUGUAGCAGUGAAAUGCGUAGAUAUCAGGAGGAACACCGAUGGCGAAGGCAGGUCUCUGGGCUGACACCGACGCUCAUGCACGAAAGCGUGGGGAGCAAACAGG
rnacentral:rRNA from 1 species